rnacentral:rRNA from 1 species
GUGUCAGCCGCCGCGGUAAUACAGAGGUCACAAGCGUUAUCCGGAUUUAUUGGGCGUAAAGCGUUUCGUAGGUGGGUUUGUAAGUUACUCUUCAAAGACCACGGCUCAACCGGGGGAAGGGGAGUAAUACUACAAGUCUUGAAAUUUAGUGGGGUUUCUAGAACUGAUGGUGUAGUAGUGAAAUACGUUGAUAUCAUCAGGAAUUCCAAGGGCGAAGGCAGGAAACUAACUAAUUUUUGACACUGAGGAACGACAGCUAGGGGAGCGAAAGGGAUUAGAAACCCGUGUAGUCC